rnacentral:lncRNA from 1 species
AUGACAGAACCUUUGAAAAGCAGAGAAAAAGAAAAUCCCUCCCUAUUCAGUAUUAAUAACUGUUCAACGCAGACACUGGGUAACUAUGCUCUGAUUGACAGUGAGAGGAAAAAACACUUUCUUCCUUACCCCUUGAGUUUGACUGGACUUCCCUCCUGGCUCAGCCGGAACAAAAGCCAAGUUUGUUAUUUGUUCAUUUCUUGCAUUUGA